AGUGAACGCUGGCGGUAGGCCUAACACAUGCAAGUCGAACGGCAGCACAGUAAGAGCUUGCUCUUACGGGUGGCGAGUGGCGGACGGGUGAGGAAUACAUCGGAAUCUACUUUUUCGUGGGGGUUAACGUAGGGAAACUUACGCUAAUACCGCAUACGACCUACGGGUGAAAGCAGGGGAUCUUCGGACCUUGCGCGAUUGAAUGCGCCGAUGUUGGAUUAGCUGGUUGGCGGGGUAAAGGCCCACCAAGGCGACGAUCCGUAGCUGGUCUGAGAGGAUGAUCGGCGACACUGGAGCGGGGCCACGGUCCAGACUCCUACGGGAGGCAGCAGUGGGGAAUAUUGGACAAUGGGCGCGAGCCUGAUCCAGCGAUACCGCGUGGGUGAAGAAGGCCUUCGGGUUGUAAAGACCUUUUGUUGGGAAAGAAAAGCAGCAGGUUAAUACCCCGCUGUUCUGACGGUACCCAAAGAAUAAGCACCGGCUAACUUCGUG
rnacentral:rRNA from 1 species